rnacentral:rRNA from 1 species
CAGUCGCCGCGGUAAUACGGAGGGUGCAGGCGUUAAUCGGAAUUACUGGGCGUAAAGCGCACGCAGGCGGUUUGUUAAGUCAGAUGUGAAAUCCCCGAGCUUAACUUGGGAACUGCAUUUGAAACUGGCAAGCUAGAGUCUUGUAGAGGGGGGUAGAAUUCCAGGUGUAGCGGUGAAAUGCGUGGAGAUCUGGAGGAGUACCGGUGGCGAAGGCGGCCCCUUGGACAAAGACUGACGCUGAAGCACGAAAGCGUGGGGAGCAAACAGGAUUAGAUACCCGGGUAGUCCCUGUCUCUUAUAA